rnacentral:rRNA from 1 species
UCCUACGGGAGGCAGCAGUAGGGAAUCUUCGGCAAUGGGGGCAACCCUGACCGAGCAACGCCGCGUGAGUGAAGAAGGUUUUCGGAUCGUAAAGCUCUGUUGUAAGAGAAGAACGUGUGUGAGAGUGGAAAGUUCACACAGUGACGGUAACUUACCAGAAAGGGACGGCUAACUACGUGCCAGCAGCCGCGGUAAU